GCCCUCGCUUCGGCAGCACAUAUACUAAUAUUGGGACGAUACAGAGAAGAUUAGCAUGGCCCCUGCGCAAAAGCAAAACAAAAUAAAAAAUGUGAAAUUGGACCACUGUCU